GAGCCAGACUCCUACGGGAGGCAGCAGUGGGGGAUAUUGCACAAUGGGGGAAACCCUGAUGCAGCGACGCCGCGUGUGGGAAGACGGUCCUCUGGAUUGUAAACCACUGUCCCCAGGGACGAAGAUGACGGUACCUGGGGAGGAAGCUCCAGCUAACUACGUGCCAGCAGCCGCGGUAAUACGUAGGGAGCGAGCGUUGUCCGGAAUUACUGGGUGUAAAGGGAGCGUAGGCGGGACUGCAAGUUGGGUGUCAAAUCUACCGGCUCAACUGGUAGUCGCACUCAAAACUGCAGCUCUUGAGUGAAGUAGAGGCAGGCGGAAUUCCUAGUGUAGCGGUGAAAUGCGUAGAUAUUAGGAGGAACACCAGUGGCGAAGGCGGCCUGCUGGGCUUUAACUGACGCUGAAGCACGAAAGCGUGGGUAGCAAACAGGAUUAGAUACCCUGGUAC
rnacentral:rRNA from 1 species